rnacentral:lncRNA from 1 species
UUGAAAGAGAUAAUGAGCUUCAAAGGGAGAAGGCAAAAGAAAAUGAAGAAAAGUUCUUUAAUCUUCAGAAUGAAUAUGAGAAGGUACAAGCAACUUGGAAAAACAAGGUUGAAGGUAGGGCCAUUGAAAGUGAAAUGCUCAGGGCCCAUACAGAGAACAAAUAUACACAAACAACAACUGAAGUGUCUAAUGAUCAAAAACAAGAAGAAACUGAAGUAAAAGGUAGUUUGGUUUGCCCGUUGAAUUUGGAUGAAAUGGAAACAGAACAAAAGCAAGCUGAUAUAUGUUCAGGACAAGAACAUUCAAUUACUAUUGAAGAUUCAGAAUGCUAUCCUGUUUGCCCUGCCAGGAAGAAACGAAGAGAGACUUCUGUAGACAAAACCUUCUGUACAGUUGAUUUCACUACUCCAGAACUGACUAAGGGUGAAGAAAC